GUCUCCCCCAAGUCCCCACCUCUUCACUUCAAAGUCCUCUCCCCUCUCUCCCCCUCCAUUUUAUUUUCUCUCUGCGCCUUCCCAGGCCCCCUCCCCUCUCCUCCUCAUCACUCCCUCCAGAUCUCACUCCCUGCAAAAAUCCCAAAUCCCCAUCUCUCAAAUCCAUUGACCUCCGCGCGAAUCAAAAUCCCACUAAUCCCAUUUCGCAUUCGAAAUCCGGGGAUUAGGGAUAUAGAUCUCUCUUCUCUCCAUGGCGUCCCCCGGAAACCCCAAUCCGCCGCCGCCGCAGCAGCAGCAGCCCUUCGACAUGGCCAAGUUCUUUAAACCCACGAGCCCAACCCCUCUCUCCCCCCAUUCCCAGCCUCAAACCCAGGCCCCCACCCAAAACCCUAACCCUAAUCUGAACUCCUCAGGCUUCCCAAUCCCUCCGGCCUCUUAUCCUCCCCCUCUGGGCCCUACUCCUACCCUCCCCAAACGGCGCCGUAUCACCAGCAGCAAUUCCAGUACCAGCACCACCCUCAGCCUCAUCCUCACAACCACCCCCAAAUUCCUUACCCUCAAGACCACCAGCUGCUUCAACAGCGGUCGCUCUCGUUUCCCAUCCCGCCCCUCGCUCCCGGUAAUUACAACAUUGCCGCCACCGCCGCCGCCGCCUCCAACCCCGGAAGCGCCACCACCACCAACCCCAAUUCCGGCGCCCGA
rnacentral:lncRNA from 1 species